rnacentral:rRNA from 1 species
CCUACGGGAGGCAGCAGUGAGGAAUAUUGGUCAAUGGACGCAAGUCUGAACCAGCCAUGUCGCGUGCAGGAUGACGGCCCUAUGGGUUGUAAACUGCUUUUGUACGAGGGUAAACCCAGGCACGUGUGCCGGGUUGAAUGUAUCGUAUGAAUAAGUAUCGGCUAACUCCGUGCCAGCAGCCGCGGUAAUACGGGGGAUCCGCGCGUUAUCCGGAUUUAUUGGGUUUAAGGGGUGCGUAGGCGGUGUGAUAAGUUAGAUGUGAAAUGUCGGGGCUCAACCCCGAAACUGCAUUUAAUACUGGAGGACUAGAGAACAGAGACGGUAGGCGGAAUUAAUGGUGUAGCGGUGAAAUGCUUAGAGAUCAUGAAGAACACCGAUUGCGAAGGCAGCUGACCAAGCUGUAACUGACGUUGAGGCACGAAAGUGUGGGUAUCAAACAGGAUUAGAUACCCUUGUAGUC